GAACGCACCUUCGGGUGAGUGGCGGACGGGUGAGUAACACGUGGGAACGUGCCCUUUGGUUCGGAAUAAUCCGGGGAAACCUGGCCUAAUACCGAAUGUGCCCUACGGGGGAAAGAUUUAUCGCCAUUGGAGCGGCCCGCGUCUGAUUAGCUAGUUGGUGGGGUAAUGGCCCACCAAGGCGACGAUCAGUAGCUGGUCUGAGAGGAUGAUCAGCCACACUGGGACUGAGACACGGCCCAGACUCCUACGGGAGGCAGCAGUAGGGAAUCUUGCGCAAUGGGCGAAAGCCUGACGCAGCCAUGCCGCGUGAAUGAUGAAGGUCUUAGGAUUGUAAAAUUCUUUCAGCGGGGAAGAUAAUGACGGUACCCGCAGAAGAAGCCCCGGCUAACUUCGUG
rnacentral:rRNA from 1 species